rnacentral:rRNA from 1 species
UACAGAGGUCUCAAGCGUUGUUCAGAUUCAUUGGGCGUAAAGGGUGCGUAGGCGGCGCGGUAAGUCGGGUGUGAAAUCUCGGAGCUUGACUCCGAAACUGCAUUCGAUACUGUCGUGCUUGAGGACUGGAGAGGAGACUGGAAUUUACGGUGUAGCGGUGAAAUGCGUAGAUAUCGUAAGGAAGACCAGUGGCGAAGGCGGGUCUCUGGACAGUUCCUGACGCUGAGGCACGAAGGCCAGGGGAGCAAACGGG